CCUACGGGUGGCUGCAGUGAGGAAUAUUGGUCAAUGGGCGCGAGCCUGAACCAGCCAAGUAGCGUGAAGGAUGACUGCCCUCCGGGUUGUAAACUUCUUUUAUAAAGGAAUAAAGUGAGGCACGUGUGCCUUUUUGUCUGUACUUUAUGAAUAAGGCUCGGCUAACUCCGUGCCAGCAGCCGCGGUAAUACGGAGGAGCCGAGCGUUAUACGGAGUUAUUGGGUUUAAAGGGCGCGUAGAUGGGUUGUUAAGUCAGUUGUGAAAGUUUGCGGCUCAACCGUAAAAUUGCAAUUGAUACUGGCAGCCUUGAGUACAGGUGAGGUAGGCGGAAUUCGUAGUGUAGCGGUGAAAUGCUUAGAUAGCACGAAGAACUCCGAUUGCGAAGGCAGCUUACUAAACUGCCACUGACAUUGAUGCUCGAAAGUGUGGGGAGCAAACAGGAUUAGAUACCCGUGUAGUC
rnacentral:rRNA from 1 species